rnacentral:rRNA from 1 species
GAUGAACGCUGGCGGCGUGCCUAAUACAUGCAAGUCGAGCGAACGGACGAGAAGCUUGCUUCUCUGAUGUUAGCGGCGGACGGGUGAGUAACACGUGGAUAACCUACCUAUAAGACUGGGAUAACUUCGGGAAACCGGAGCUAAUACCGGAUAAUAUUUUGAACCGCAUGGUUCAAAAGUGAAAGACGGUCUUGCUGUCACUUAUAGAUGGAUCCGCGCUGCAUUAGCUAGUUGGUAAGGUAACGGCUUACCAAGGCAACGAUGCAUAGCCGACCUGAGAGGGUGAUCGGCCACACUGGAACUGAGACACGGUCCAGACUCCUACGGGAGGCAGCAGUAGGGAAUCUUCCGCAAUGGGCGAAAGCCUGACGGAGCAACGCCGCGUGAGUGAUGAAGGUCUUCGGAUCGUAAAACUCUGUUAUUAGGGAAGAACAUAUGUGUAAGUAACUGUGCACAUCUUGACGGUACCUAAUCAGAAAGCCACGGCUAACUACGUGCCAGCAGCCGCGGUAAUACGUAGGUGGCAAGCGUUAUCCGGAAUUAUUGGGCGUAAAGCGCGCGUAGGCGGUUUUUUAAGUCUGAUGUGAAAGCCCACGGCUCAACCGUGGAGGGUCAUUGGAAACUGGAAAACUUGAGUGCAGAAGAGGAAAGUGGAAUUCCAUGUGUAGCGGUGAAAUGCGCAGAGAUAUGGAGGAACACCAGUGGCGAAGGCGACUUUCUGGUCUGUAACUGACGCUGAUGUGCGAAAGCGUGGGGAUCAAACAGGAUUAGAUACCCUGGUAGGCCACGCCGUAAACGAUGAGUGCUAAGUGUUAGGGGGUUUCCGCCCCUUAGUGCUGCAGCUAACGCAUUAAGCACUCCGCCUGGGGAGUACGACCGCAAGGUUGAAACUCAAAGGAAUUGACGGGGACCCGCACAAGCGGUGGAGCAUGUGGUUUAAUUCGAAGCAACGCGAAGAACCUUACCAAAUCUUGACAUCCUUUGACAACUCUAGAGAUAGAGCCUUCCCCUUCGGGGGACAAAGUGACAGGUGGUGCAUGGUUGUCGUCAGCUCGUGUCGUGAGAUGUUGGGUUAAGUCCCGCAACGAGCGCAACCCUUAAGCUUAGUUGCCAUCAUUAAGUUGGGCACUCUAAGUUGACUGCCGGUGACAAACCGGAGGAAGGUGGGGAUGACGUCAAAUCAUCAUGCCCCUUAUGAUUUGGGCUACACACGUGCUACAAUGGACAAUACAAAGGGCAGCGAAACCGCGAGGUCAAGCAAAUCCCAUAAAGUUGUUCUCAGUUCGGAUUGUAGUCUGCAACUCGACUACAUGAAGCUGGAAUCGCUAGUAAUCGUAGAUCAGCAUGCUACGGUGAAUACGUUCCCGGGUCU